rnacentral:rRNA from 1 species
AAAAGCGUUACAGCUUAACCUAAUAUUCAAUAAAAUUUCACCUACAAUCACUAACCCCACCCCAUUACUGAAUGACUCUAUAAUAAUAUAGAAAACAUAAUGCUAGAACUAGUAACAAGAAUAACAAUUCUCCAAAAUGUAAGUAUUUACCAAACUACUGGCAAUUAACGAAUAUGAGCCUACUACAGUAACCCCCAAGAAAACUCUGUAUAAACCCCCGUCAACCUAACACCAGAACACUCCUGGAAAGAUUUAAAGAGAAAGAAGGAACUUGGCAAAUCUCGACCCCGCCUGUUUACCAAAAACAUCGCCUCUUGGCUCAUAAUAAGAGGUCUAGCCUGCCCACUGAUAAAAUUCAACGGCCACGGUACCCUAACCGUGCAAAGGUAGCAUAAUCACUUGUUCUUUAAAUAAGGACUAGUAUCAACGGCACCACGAGGGUCGCACCGUCUCCUUUCUCCAAUCAGUGAAACUGAUCUCCCCGUGAAGAAGCGUGGAUAAAACUAUAAGACGAGAAGACCCCAUGGAGCUUUAGACUUCCGGCAACCAAACUUUACACCCCCCAACAACCACAAAACUAUGCUUAACAGUCUUAGGCUGGGGCGGCCACGGAGCAGAAAACAACCUCCAUGACGAAAGAACUAAAUCCUUAUCUAUGAGUUACUACUCUAAGAAUUAGAACACUAACGUACAAUGACCCGACAAACGACCAACGAACCUAGUUACCCUGGGGAUAACAGCGCAAUCUACUUCAAGAGCUCAUAUCGACAAGUAGGCUUACGACCUCGAUGUUGGAUCAGGGUAUCCUAGUGGUGCAGCCGCUGCUAAUGGUUCGUUUGUUCAACGAUCAAAACC